CGCUCCCCAGCGUUCAAGUCACAUGACAUAUUUAACCGGAUGUAGCUGCAAGACGGAGCCUCGUUAACUCUCCGUUUCAACUUAUCUCAAAAGUGAGGACCUCAACCUAUAUACCAGUUUUUAAAUUGUGUUGAUAGGCCAAAUAAAACCAGAGUUAUGAUAAAUUAUGUCCGCGAUACUUUUUUUCUGCUUAUUUUGAUCACGUUCGGCGCUCGAUCGCGCUGUAUGAGACAGGAAAACAUAGCAUGCAGACAUUAGCGACAGGUCUUACAGGCGGAAAAGGCUUGCCAAAAGAAAAAAAAAACACACCACAACAUCUCUCCUAUUGGUGGAAAACUUCACCACAACAACCAAUCCAAAAUUAUAUGGUGACUGAUUGACAAGGGGCGGGCGCUUACGUUCUUCCUGCAAUAUGAGAAGGGAGGGAGGGACUCUCAGCAGGGAUGCAGUCUGGGACACGUAGUUGCAAACCUAGCGACUGUGUUGUUAGAUUCAAUUACUUUUCAGACCCCCUAACGACUUUUUUUAGAAAGAAAGGGACUUUUAUCGACUUCUUCUGGAGUUUAGAGACUCUGACAUGAAGCAGGCUUUCCUUACUGAGGAGUUAGCAACGCUGCUAAGGGUGCAGAGCCACACAUGCGCUCCGAGCUCUGCAUGGGAGACUGAAGCUGACAGAGCUGCAGCAGUUAGCAGGUUUCACCCUCAGAGACCACCAGGGGUUCAUGUUGAGGCAUUUUCAGUUUUUGUUUUUUUUGCCAUAGACUGUCAGCACAAUCUGCAGUUACACUAACAAAAAUGCUGCAAAAAACAAAGAAUUAUGGAAAAAUUACACACGGACUGACAUAGAGGAGGAUCUACACAAGUUUUUUACAUCAUGUUUUACAUCAUGCAUCAUUUACAUCAUGUUUUUUUGUAGUGGCAUAAAUAAAAAGUGACAUUUGUGAGACUAUACAGUGUUUUGUAAAUAAUUUUACAAAGAACGCCUGGGCCAUUGCCUGCAUUUUGAUGUAAAUAGAGGUAAAUUACUAUGUUCUUUGUUAAAAAUUUGCAUAUGUUUUGAAGUUUACAAUUUUUAUUUGAAGUUUAAGUUUUAAAAACAGUUCAUCACACAUAUUUGUGUUUUAAUUUCACAUUAAUUUCCAUAUUGUAUAAAUGACUGGAAAAAUCUUGAGCCCCUGCCCCUGUAUUAUCAUGUGCACGUCCCUGUUCUAGCUCCAAGGUGAAUCUUCACUGCUCAUGUUCUCCUCAGAAAUAGUCACCUCACUCCCCUCAGGUUACUGUACACAUGCACCAACUAUCUGCUUCAGGUUUGGAUGGAGCUUCAUGGUUGUCUUUUGGAAAAAUGAACAGUCAAGUUGUGUUUGAAAUCUGAUUUUUUUCAGGGGCAAAAGGAAGCCUCUGCAUUCUUGUCAAAUAUGUAAACAGCAUGUUUUUGCAGGUGCUAAAAAACAGACUCUGAGUGUGUGUGUGUGUGUGUGUGUGUGUGUGUGUGUGUGUGUGUGUGUGUGUGUGUGUGUAUGUGUGUGUAUCCUGCAGUACUCUGUACUCCUGCAGUGGCCAAAAAGACUUUUAAGAAUGUGGAUUUUUGGGUCAUCUUUGGCGCCCCCUAGAACUGCAGUACUCUGUACUCCUGCAGUGGCCAAAAUGACUUUUAAGAAUGUGGAUUUUUGGGUCAUCUUUGGCGCCCCCUAGAACGUAAACCGUGGGGUGCAGCGUCAUGAUUUUUACAACUUUGAAUGGCCAUGGGAUGUAGAUCGGCUUGAGCAAAUUUGGUGUUGGUGGGACGAAAGCCUUAGGAGGAGUUAGCGAAAUUCCAAUGUGUGCGGAUCGGGAAAAAAUGCGAAAUAGCCCUUUAACCAUACAUUAUACAGAUACGCGCUCUUUGACUUUUUCGUAGAUCUUAUUGAGAUACACGUGAUUGUCAAAUUUUGUGUCAAUAUGACAAAGCGUUCAGGCGUGACACUCUACAAUGUGUAUUUUCAUGUUAGGGGACAAGAAAAAAUGGACUUUUUUCACCUGCCAUGGGGGGGCGCUCUUUUGGGGAGUAAAAAUUCCUUCACAAAUGUGUUGAUGGCUGGACAUUGCAUCAUCCUAGAAAACUUGGAGGCCAGUGAGGACAAAAAUAAAAAGUUAUAAGACUUUUAAGACUGUGGAUUUUUGGGUUAUCUUUGGCGCCCCCUAGAACGUAAACCGUGGGGUGCAGCGUCAUGAUUUGUACAACUUUUAAUGGCCAUGGGGUGUAGAUUGGCCUGAGCAAAUUUGGUGCCGGUGGAACGAAAGCCUUCGGAGGAGUUAGCGAAAUUCCAAUGUGUGCGGAUCGGCAAAAAAUGCAAAAUAGCCCUUUAACGGUACAUUUGACAGAUACGCCCGCACUGACUUUUUUGUAGGUCUUAUUGAGAUACACAUGUGUGUCAAAUUUUGUGUCAAUUUGACAAAGCGUACAGGCGUCAGGUGAAUUUUCACCAUAGGGGGCGCUAUGGAGCCAUUUUUCAUUUUUUUGUUUGGACGACUUCAGAAUAUCAAAUUUUUCACCAGGCCCGGUCGUCCUGCCAAAUUUCCUGAGUUUUCGCCAGUGGGAAGUGGGCCAUUUUCCAGUUUAAAGCGGAGGAAAAAUAACGAAACUAGGGCCCCGUUGGGGCACUGGCGGGCCCGAGCCGUGUCGUGCCGCCCCCAGCGAGACCGCCUUCCCGUCCCAUUUGCGUCCUCUGGCCGUCGCCCUCUCUGGUAACGCCCAUCACUGCAAAGACCCUUUUCCUUCAUCGGUGUUUGCUGUUCUUCCUGCCAGUGCGUGUUGCUUUCACUUACACUUGCCACAGCCAGCCUCGUGAGUGCCUAGCCUAUUGGAUAUCACUGUCACCUACACAGGACAGUCAUUACCUUUCUAUUAAUACUUUGUUUUUAAUUUCACAUUAAUUUCCAUAUUGUAUAAAUGACUGGAAAAAACUUGAGCCCCUGCCCCUGUAUAAUCAUGUGCACGUCCCUGUUCUAGCUCCAAGGUGAAUCUUCACUGCUCAUGUUCUCCUCAGAAGCAGUCACCUCACUCCCCUCAGGUUACUGUACACAUGCACCAACUGCCUGCUUCAGGUUUGGAUGGAGCUUCAUGGUUGUCUUUUGGAGAAAUGAGCAGUCAAGUUGUGUUUGAAAUUUGAUUUUUUUCAGGGGCAAAAGGAGCCUCUGUAUUCUUGAGAGUCUGAGUGUGUGUGUGUGUGUGUGUGUGUGUGUGUGUGUGUGUGUGUGUGUGUGUGUGUGUGUGUGUGUCCUGCAGUACUCUGAGAAGAAUAAUAAGCAUAUUUCUGAGGUGAAUUUUGAAGAUUCAUCUGAGAGUUAGGAGGGCUGAUCAUUCCCUUACCCUUUAGAUGUCUGUCUAUGUCUGUUUUUGUGUGAUAAUGAAAGAAUCCCAACUCAAAAAGGCUCUGUUGAUGUUUUUUUUUUGUUGUUCAUUCAUAUUCAAACCACUAUUUUAUAUCACUGCUAAUACGCCAAGACCAUUUUAUGGUAUUUAGCUUUAUUAUUUCUAUACAUUUUGCAAGGAAAGAAACCAAGGCCUUCACUAAAAUUUCCAUAAACUUUAGGAAAGGACCUCUGGUUGUUUAAGGGGGUCAUUACUGCAAAAACAUAUUCUUCCUAAAUUUUGAAGGUCAAAGCUUAGAUUCAUUAGGUUUAAAUAGAAAAAGCAUUUAAAUAUGUUAGGAUUAUAGCAUAUGACAAAUGUGUGCCUCUCAGUGGCCAUAACUACUUUGUCUGCUGGCUCUGCAGUCGAUUGACGUUCCCCAGCGUUCAAGUCACAUGACAUAUUUAACCGGAUGUAGCUGCAAGACGGAGCCUCGUUGAUUCUCCGUUUCAACCUGUCUUAAAAGUGAGGACCUCAAACUAUAUACCAGUUUUUAAAUUGUGUUGAUAGGCCAGAUAAAACCAGAGUUAUGAUAAAUUAUGUCUGCGAUACUUUUUUUCUACUUAUUUUGAUCACGUUCGGCGCUCGAUCGCGCUCUAUGAGACAGGAAAACAUAGCAUGCAGACAUUAGCGACAGCUCUUACAGGCGGAAAAGACUUGCCAAAAGAAAAGAAAAAAAACACACCACAACAUCUCUCCUAUUGUUGGAAAACUUCAC
rnacentral:lncRNA from 1 species